rnacentral:tRNA from 2 species
AGGGGCAUGGUGAAAUGGCAUCACAACGGUCUCCAAAACCGUCUUUCUAGGUUCGAGUCCUAGUGCCCCUGCCA